CAGAAAUAAUCAGCAAGGGCAGCAAGCAUAUCAGCAGAAAAAUUAAAUCAAUGACUAUAGUGUCACUUUAACUGAAUGUGGAUCGUAUUUUCUAUCAGAAAAUAAAAAGCAAAGCCUUGAAUUAAUCCUCGCAUGCCCUGAGCUAUCUCACUGUUAGUUACAAAAUAUCAGUACUUCCAGACAGAUGUAUAUGACGGUGCCCACUAUUUUAGAGCCAAAACAAAUAGUCACAAAUCAAAUGCAAA